rnacentral:tRNA from 1 species
GGAGAGGUGGCUGAGUGGUCGAAAGCGGCAGAUUGCUAAUCUGUUGAAGCGUUUAGACGCUUCCGAGGGUUCGAAUCCCUCCCUCUCCG